AUGAAAUUUUCACAGGGGAGGAGGAGCAGCAACAUUUUGCCCAAGUUAAGGUUACACUGGCAAUAUACCAAGCAGCCCGAAGCACUUAAUUUUCAUGAGAGAUCUGAUUACAGCAGCCUGUAUUUGAGUACAGAAAUAUGUCCUGCAGAAUCUGCAGCCCCAGUGCUGCUUCCAAGCUCUCCCCUGAGGUAUAUUAGUCAAACUCAGAAGAACACCUACAUUGCAUCCACACCAUUUGAGGUAGAUUUUAAAAUUGUCCCCCACCUGAGCACAUAAACCUAGUAACUGUUCAAUUACUUAUGCAAUUUACAUGCAUAGAUCAAUUUUGCAUUCAUAGAUGGAUGGGCAUGUGUAUUAAGG
rnacentral:lncRNA from 1 species